GAAUUUGAACUUAUAUAUGCUAGUUCAUGUUAUAGUUGUAAAAGUGUGUUAGAAGAAUGAGUUCCUGCGACCUCGACGAUGAGUCGUAGCGUCGCACUCUGAGCGUGAGAAGGAUUUUCGAACUUCAUCUGGAGUUUGAUCAUCAUCGAUGACCGUUCGCCAAAACCCCUCGUGGGUUUUGGUCAUGGGUGUGAUGCUUUCUGAGAGGU